UGGGGAAUAUUGCACAAUGGGGGAAACCCUGAUGCAGCGACGCCGCGUGAACGAAGAAGGUAUUCGUAUCGUAAAGUUCUGUCCUAUGGGAAGAUAAUGACAGUACCAUAGAAGAAAGCUCCGGCUAAAUACGUGCCAGCAGCCGCGGUAAUACGUAUGGAGCGAGCGUUGUCCGGAAUUAUUGGGCGUAAAGGGUACGCAGGCGGUUUAAUAAGUCGAAUGUUAAAGAUCGGGGCUCAACCCCGUAAAGCAUUGGAAACUGAUAAACUUGAGUAGUGGAGAGGAAAGUGGAAUUCCUAGUGUAGUGGUGAAAUACGUAGAUAUUAGGAGGAAUACCAGUAGCGAAGGCGACUUUCUGGACACAAACUGACGCUGAGGUGCGAAAGCGUGGGGAGCAAACAGG
rnacentral:rRNA from 1 species